GGGCUUGUGGUUUAGUGGUAUAAUACUCCCUUAGCAUUGUUCAGACAAUUUGGGAGUGGUCCAGGGUUCGAUUCCCUGCAAGUCCA